rnacentral:rRNA from 1 species
GAGUGGUGUGGCCUUGACACAUGCGAGUCGUAACAAGAGUAACCGUAAUAGUACUGGAGAGUGACGCACGGGUGAGUUUUCGUGGGGACCUACCUUUUAGGGGGGAAUUCGGUUGGAAACCACCGCUAAUACCGGAUACGCCCUUCGUAGGUAAGAUUGAUCGCUAAGAGUUGAACCCGCGUUGAAUUAGAUAGUUGGUUAGGUAAUGGCUCACCACGACUGCGGUCCAUAUCUGGUUUGAGAGGAUGAUCGGCCCCACUGUGACGGAGACACAACCCCCACUCUGACCGGAGGCAGCAGUCUAUAAUAUUGGACAAUGGGCGGAAGGUUGAUCCAGCCAUGCCGCGUGAUUGAAGAAGGCCUUCGGGUUGUAAAGCUCUUUCAGAUGCGAAGAUGAUGACGGUUACAUCAGAGGAAGCCCCGGCUAAUUUCGUGCCAGCUGCCCCGGUAAUACGAAAGGGGCAAGCGUUGUUCGGAUUUACUGGGCGUAAGGGGCACGCGGGCGGUCUGGCCAGUCAGGGUUGAAAGCACGAGACUCAACCCCGGAACUGCUUCUGAGACUGCAGGAAUAGAGACUAGGAGAGGUUGGGGCAAUUCCCCGUGUAGAGGUGAAUUUCUUAGUUAUUGGGAGGAACACCAGAGCCGAAACCCCCACCCUGAACUAGAAUCUGACUACCGGGUGCAAAAGCGGGGGGAGCAACCGGAUUUGGAUCCCCAUGGUUAGUCCACCCCAUCAUCAAUGAGUGCUAGGUGGUCGCGGCCUUCGCUUCCGGUGACCCAGCCAAAUACUUAAAGCACUCAGCCUGGGCGAGUGCGAUCCCCACCACUCUACAUCCAAAAGUAUUGACCGGCGGCCCUGAAAAGCCGGUGCAGCAUGUGGGCUCAGUGCGUAGCAACGCCGAGAACCUAACCACCCCUGGACCUCCCUUAUCGCGAAUACUAGAGAAGAAUACUCAUCCACCUCCGGCUUGAUACGGUGACAGGUGCCACAUAGCUAGUCCGCGGCUCCUGUCCGUGGAUACGUCGAUUAAGUCCCGCCACGAGGCGCCAUCUCCAGUUCUAAGUCGCCAGCUAUCAGUCGGGCCACUCUAGGGAACCUCUCCCGCCCAAUGCCUGAAUGCC